UCGUAGACGCUACGGACUUAAAUCCGUCGACUUUUUAAAUCGUGAGGGUUCAAGUCCCUCUAUCCCCA
rnacentral:tRNA from 1 species